ensembl:lncRNA
ACAAUGGAUUUGAAUACAGCAAGUGCAGCAACAAACUCUUAACCACUGAGUAAACGCAUAAACAAUCAAAAUUUAUUUACACAGUGAACUGGGUUUUGGAGCGGUUAAGGAGCAGUGUAAUGAUUUCAGACGUCCUUCUAUCCAUUCUAUCAGGACUGUGGUAUGUGGGCCUGUGAUUAACCGGAGGCUGACUGCAAAUGAUUGAUUUUCUGUGGACAGUUUUUGUUGUGAGUGACACAGGUUCUCUGAAUUUUGCGAGUGGACCUGCAUGGCCCCCCAUGCAUUGCACAUAGACCAAUGGAAACAUGGACCAGAUGGUGAUAAGGGUGGGGGUAGGGGGGAAUGUUCCUGACAGGUUUCCAUGAGGUUUUUGUGAGAUCCACCCAAAAACUCACCCCAUCACACUUAAAUGAAUAACAUCUUUGCUGACAUGGUUUCAAGAUUUGCCUCACACCCCCUGCAGUGAAUUACAAAUGAACCAAUGAAAAGAUACAAACAUGGACGGCCGAGGCUGGUGCCCCCUUUUCACUUACCGAGAGAGAUGCUGGUCAAACAAAACCUUUUUCAUGGGGGAGGGGUGCUUUUACCUUUGCCUCAAAAUGGAAACAGAAGUUGAGCAUGUUUGACUUGUAUGGAAUUACAGUGCUGGUGUCCCAGUGGACCCUGUGGUCAGGAGCUGAGUUGUAAAGGAGGCAGAGGGGAGGAGGUGGAUGGGGAAUCAUUGAGGCCAAAUGCUCUCAAGCACAAAGAAAAGCUUUCUUCUAAGCCUCUUGCUUUCUUUACUCUUUCGCCUAUUAAACAGACUCUCUCCUCUCCGGGACACAAAUCAGCGAGGACCCUUGGAGUCUAUCAGGAGGCGAAGGAACUGCAGAUUGAGUUUGAUGCACAAGCUCUCAAGGUCAAUCUGACAUAAACAAGUGCUAUGUCAGCAACAUCUACAGAUGACUUAUAACAGUGGUGGAGCGUAAUCAAUCACGAGCUAUACAUGUAUUUAUCAUGGUGUUUUAGUCAGGAUCCACAUGCACGUUUCAGAAAAAGCAAUGAAUUUGAUAUUUAUAUCAACACUCUGCUUUAUUUCUGCGUAAAGGCUCCAGCUGUGUUGUCUUUUAUGCGGUAUCUCUGCACCGUUGUGCUAUUUAUGGACAUUGCGGUGUUUUUCUGUAAACUUUUCCACCGCCGGCAAAGCAUGAGCUCUCUCAAACAUGUAGUUUAUACCCAUCUGGAUUUCUGUUUCUGCUGAGUCAGGCCUCUUGAAUGC